rnacentral:rRNA from 1 species
UAAUACGUAGGAGGCGAGCGUUAUCCGGAUUUAUUGGGCAUAAAGAGGGCGUAGGCGGCUUUUCAAGUCAGAUGUAAAAUCUCCCGGCUCAACUGGGAGGGACCAUUUGAUACUGUUAGGCUAGAGGGCAGCAGGGGGAGGUGGAAUUCCCGGUGUAGUGGUGAAAUGCGUAGAUAUCGGGAGGAACACCAGUGGCGAAGGCGGCCUCCUAGGCUGUUUCUGACGCUGAGGCCCGAAAGCGUGGGGAGCAAACAGGAUUAGAUACCCUGGUAGUCCACGCCGUAAACGAUGGACACUAGGUAUGGGGGGUAUCGACCCCCUCCGUGCCGGAGCUAAUGCGUUAAGUGUCCCGCCUGGGGAUUACGGCCGCAAGGCUA